rnacentral:ncRNA from 1 species
UCUAGACCGUUACACGUGACCCCCAGCCGUUCCUCGCCCUGGCACACUUCCCCGGUGCCAGGUCGAUCGGAUGGAUGGGGAUCAGGCGGAACGGCCUCGGCCGA